rnacentral:tRNA from 1 species
GCCGGGGUAGGAUAGCCAGGUAAUCCGUCAGCCUCGAGAGCUGAUGUCCUUGUGACUCGUGGGUUCAAAUCCCACCCCCGGCG